rnacentral:rRNA from 1 species
GACAGAGGGGGCAAGCGUUGCUCGGAAUUACUGGGCGUAAAGGGCGCGUAGGCGGGAUGGCAAGUCGGUCGUGAAAUCCCUCGGCUCAACCGAGGAACGUCGAUCGAUACUGCUGUUCUUGAGGAUUGCAGAGGAGACUGGAAUUCCCGGUGUAGCGGUGAAAUGUGUAGAGAUCGGGAGGAACACCUGAGGCGAAGGCGGGCUACUGGCUGAUACUGACGCUGAUGCG